UACGAAGGGGGCUAGCGUUGCUCGGAAUCACUGGGCGUAAAGGGUGUGUAGGCGGUUCUUUAAGUUUGCUGUGAAAUCUCCCGGCUUAACCGGGAGGGUGCGGUGAAUACUGAGGGACUAGAGUACGGGAGAGGAAAGUGGAAUUCCUGGUGUAGCGGUGAAAUGCGCAGAUAUCAGGAGGAACACCGGUGGCGAAGGCGGGUCUCUGGGCCGUAACUGACGCUGAGGAGCGAAAGCAUGGGGGAGCGAACAGG
rnacentral:rRNA from 1 species